UGCUGUGAACUCGAAGAGUAGGGCGGGACACGUGGUAUCCUGUCUGAAUAUGGGGGGACCAUCCUCCAAGGCUAAAUACUCCUGACUGACCGAUAGUGAACCAGUACCGUGAGGGAAAGGCGAAAAGAACCCCGGCGAGGGGAGUGAAAAAGAACCUGAAACCGUGUACGUACAAGCAGUGGGAGCCUCUUUAUGGGGUGACUGCGUACCUUUUGUAUAAUGGGUCAGCGACUUAUAUUCUGUAGCAAGGUUAACCGUAUAGGGGAGCCGAAGGGAAACCGAGUCUUAACUGGGCGUUAAGUUGCAGGGUAUAGACCCGAAACCCGGUGAUCUAGCCAUGGGCAGGUUGAAGGUUGGGUAACACUAACUGGAGGACCGAACCGACUAAUGUUGAAAAAUUAGCGGAUGACCUGUGGCUGGGGGUGAAAGGCCAAUCAAACCGGGAGAUAGCUGGUUCUCCCCGAAAGCUAUUUAGGUAGCGCCUCGUGAACUCAUCUUCGGGGGUAGAGCACUGUUUCGGCUAGGGGGCCAUCCCGGCUUACCAACCCGAUGCAAACUACGAAUACCGAAGAAUGUUAUCACGGGAGACACACGGCGGGUGCUAACGUCCGUCGUGAAGAGGGAAACAACCCAGACCGCCAGCUAAGGUCCCAAAGUCAUGGUUAAGUGGGAAACGAUGUGGGAAGGCACAGACAGCCAGGAUGUUGGCUUAGAAGCAGCCAUCAUUUAAAGAAAGCGUAAUAGCUCACUGGUCGAGUCGGCCUGCGCGGAAGAUGUAACGGGGCUAAACCAUGCACCGAAGCUGCGGCAGCGACACUAUGUGUUGUUGGGUAGGGGAGCGUUCUGUAAGCCGUUGAAGGUGUGCUGUGAGGCAUGCUGGAGGUAUCAGAAGUGCGAAUGCUGACAUAAGUAACGAUAAAGCGGGUGAAAAGCCCGCUCGCCGGAAGACCAAGGGUUCCUGUCCAACGUUAAUCGGGGCAGGGUGAGUCGACCCCUAAGGCGAGGCCGAAAGGCGUAGUCGAUGGGAAACAGGUUAAUAUUCCUGUACUUGGUGUUACUGCGAAGGGGGGACGGAGAAGGCUAUGUCAGCCGGGCGACGGUUGUCCCGGUUUAAGCAUGUAGGCGGAGGUUCCAGGUAAAUCCGGUACCUUAUUAACGCUGAGGUGUGAUGACGAGGCACUACGGUGCUGAAGUGAUAAAUGCCCUGCUUCCAGGAAAAGCCUCUAAGCAUCAGGUAACACGAAAUCGUACCCCAAACCGACACAGGUGGUCAGGUAGAGAAUACCAAGGCGCUUGAGAGAACUCGGGUGAAGGAACUAGGCAAAAUGGUGCCGUAACUUCGGGAGAAGGCACGCUGAUAUGUAGGUGAAGCCCCUGCGGGCGGAGCUGAAAUCAGUCGAAGAUACCAGCUGGCUGCAACUGUUUAUUAAAAACACAGCACUGUGCAAACACGAAAGUGGACGUAUACGGUGUGACGCCUGCCCGGUGCCGGAAGGUUAAUUGAUGGGGUUAGCGGCAACGCGAAGCUCUUGAUCGAAGCCCCGGUAAACGGCGGCCGUAACUAUAACGGUCCUAAGGUAGCGAAAUUCCUUGUCGGGUAAGUUCCGACCUGCACGAAUGGCGUAAUGAUGGCCAGGCUGUCUCCACCCGAGACUCAGUGAAAUUGAACUCGCUGUGAAGAUGCAGUGUACCCGCGGCAAGACGGAAAGACCCCGUGAACCUUUACUAUAGCUUGACACUGAACACUGGUCCUUGAUGUGUAGGAUAGGUGGGAGGCUUUGAAGCGUGGACGCCAGUCUGCGUGGAGCCAACCUUGAAAUACCACCCUUUAAUGGCUGGUGUUCUAACGU
rnacentral:rRNA from 1 species